rnacentral:rRNA from 1 species
GCUCAGUAACACGUGGAUAACCUGCCCUUGGGACCGGGAUAACCCCGGGAAACUGGGGAUAAUACCGGAUAACGCAUAUCUGCUGGAAUGCUUUAUGCGUAAAAUGGAUUUGUCUGCCCAAGGAUGGGUCUGCGGCCUAUCAGGUAGUAGUGGGUGUAAUGUACCUACUAGCCUACGACGGGUACGGGUUGUGAGAGCAAGAGCCCGGAGAUGGAUUCUGAGACAUGAAUCCAGGCCCUACGGGGCGCAGCAGGCGCGAAAACUUUACAAUGCGGGAAACCGAGAUAAGGGGACACCGAGUGCCAGCAUCAUAUGUUGGCUGUCCAGAUGUGUAAAAUACAUCUGUUAGCAAGGGCCGGGCAAGACCGGUGCCAGCCGCCGCGGUAACACCGGCGGCCCGAGUGGUGAUCGUGAUUAUUGGGUCUAAAGGGUCCGUAGCCGGUUUGGUCAGUCCUCCGGGAAAUCUGACGGCUCAACCGUUAGGCUUUCGGUGGAUACUGCCAGACUUGGAACCGGGAGAGGUAAGAGGUACUACAGGGGUAGGAGUGAAAUCUUGUAAUCCCUGUGAAACCACCUGUGGCGAAGGCGUCUUACCAGAACGGGUUCGACGGUGAGGGACGAAAGCUGGGGGCACGAACCGGAUUAGAUACCCGGGUAGUCCCAGCCGUAAACGAUGCUCGCUAGGUGUCAGGCAUGGCGCGACCGUGUCUGGUGCCGCAGGGAAGCCGUGAAGCGAGCCACCUGGGAAGUACGGCCGCAAGGCUGAAACUUAAAGGAAUUGGCGGGGGAGCAC